UCUCUCUCUCUCUCUCUCUCUCUCUCUCUCUCUCUCUCUCCCAAAACUCAGAUUUUCACACCUUCUUCUAUCUCCUUCUUCUGGUGGUGAGGUUGCAAUUUUCGGUGGUGGUGGAUCUGAGCGUUUUCGUGUGGUUUGGAGGUGGUGAGGUUGCGAUUUUUUACGGCGGUGGAUCUGUGCGUUUUCGUGUGGUGUGGAUGGAGAAGUUACAAUCUUUACUUACUCAAGUAUACACUCCUUUUAAGUUGUUUGAGUUAGGUUUUGGAUGGGCAUGGAAGUCCUGAUGCAACUGUGUUUGUUAAGAAAAAUGCUAUGAAAAUAUUUUUUUUGAAGACGUUACAAUGCUGCAGUCAUAUGACACUGAUGCACUUCUAAUUAAGAGGUUGGAAGAUUCUCAUCAGAAAGUUUUUCUAGGUGUCGACCUUGCGAUGGUUGAUGAACAGAGUAUUAGUAGUUCUUCUGAGACAACAACACUGACUGCCCUGAUACUUGGAAAGCAUUUGCUUGUUGCUAAUGUCGGUGAUUGUCGAGUAGUUUUUUAAGAGGACCACAGACGGAGUUAUUCUUUGUUUUGUUUUCACUAUGGGUUUUUUUUAGAAAAACUACUUCAUACUGUUAUGUAAUAUAUUUGAUAUACCUACUGCAUAUUUAAGCAAUUUGGAAUAAUUGUUGUGAAAUCAACUUGUAGGUUCACUUUGUCUUAAAAGAACUUGUGAGAAAAUCAAUAGGUGAAACUGAGGUAAAGUUUGUAGAUUCAUUUUGUAGCAACCCUGCUUAAAAUGUACUAGAAUAGUUAAUAAUAAAUCACAAUUUUUUCUAUGAACAGGAGCUAAGACGUUUCCCUACUCUUCAAACCGAAUUAUCUGCAGCUACAAAUGAGGCUCUAGAGAGAUUCCGUGAAGCGAGUAAGAAGACAACUAUUCGGCUUGUGGAUAUGGAGUCUUCAUAUCUUACUGUGGAUUUCUUUCGGAAACUUCCUCAAGAAAUGGAGAAAGCUGGUAAUCUAGGGAUACCUUCUAAUCCAGCUCAACCUACUAAUCCAUCUAAUCGUCCUAUCCCUAACCCAAUCGAGGAUCGAUAUGGUGAUAGGAAUUUUAGAAGGAUUGGAUCAAAUGUGUCAUCCUAUAUAGGUUUGGUGUCUGACACACUCAAGAUCACUAUUCCAAACGCCGUGGUUUAUUGUCAGGUCAGAGAAGCAAAACUAUCAUUGCUAAGCUAUUUCUUCACACAAACUGGGAAAAAAGAGAUGUCUUCAGUUUUGGUGUGGUACUUCUUGAGCUUAUCAGUGGUCGACAUCCUAUUCAUAAAACGCGUACCAAAUGGACAGAGAAGAGCAUCUUGUAUGGUGUUUCUUUGUCAGCUAUCAGCAAAAGUUUGGCCCUGAUCGAUCCAGAAGUAUCUAAAACUCAAAAGCUUAGAUGCUGGGUAUAAAGCAUGGUGCUCUUGCUAAAGUGAAUGAUCCUAAAGUGAAGCAAUUUAUAGAGAAGCAAUUUAUAGAGAUGUUUUUGAAGUAGAAUUCAGUUUUGAAGGAAUGGCUGACACUGAAAUUGUGUCUUUGUCGGUGUUUGUGUUCGAAAGCGAUACCGAAAUUAUGAUCACUUUUGGUGCCACUACAAAUAUGGUGAGUUGUAAAUUGGUUGUAGGUUUUAGAAGUUAGUUAUGGUGAGUUGUAAAUUCUGUUAGAGGUUGUUAUUGAAGUUGUUAGAAGUUAGUAGUAGUAUUAACUGUCAGGCUAAUUGAGUAAGACUGUUAAACGGCAGCCAAGAUAGUUUUUGUUGUUGUUGUUGUUGUAUUGACACACUCCAGCAUGUUAUCGACUAAUUUUGUUAUAUUGUAAAAACUAACCGACAUGCAUGUUAUGAUAAUUUUGGAGCAGUAAUGGUGGUGAAGAUAAGCAAAUGGGAUGAUAAUGUUAUGAAACUAUUAAACAA